UACGGAGGGGGCUAGCGUUGUUCGGAAUUACUGGGCGUAAAGCGCGCGUAGGCGGACCUGCAAGUCGGGGGUGAAAGCCCGAGGCUCAACCUCGGAACUGCCUUCGAUACUGCGGGUCUCGAGUCCGGGAGAGGCGAGUGGAAUUCCUAGUGUAGAGGUGAAAUUCGUAGAUAUUAGGAAGAACACCAGUGGCGAAGGCGGCUCACUGGCCCGGUACUGACGCUGAGGCGCGAAAGCGUGGGGAGCAAACAGG
rnacentral:rRNA from 1 species